GCCCGGAUGGCGGAAUUGGUAGACGCGUUAGUUUCAGGAGCUAAUUGGCGCAAGCCAGUGGGGGUUCGAGUCCCCCUUCGGGCACUA
rnacentral:tRNA from 1 species